rnacentral:RNase_P_RNA from 1 species
AAAGCUCCCGACUCUGUCGCUUCCUAGGAAGAGGAAAGUCCGGACACCACAGAGCAUCAUACUAGUUAACGACUAGGCGUCUUCGGAUGACAGCCAGUGCAGCAGAAAACAACCGCCUUCGGGUAAGGGUGAAAAGGUGAGGUAAGAGCUCACCAGUGCUUUAAGUGAUUAGGGUAGCUGUGUAAACCUUAUGAGGUGAAAGGUCAUGUAUACCAGGGUUCCUUUCGGGGAUAAAAGUGCUCGCUUGAUCUUGGAGGGUAGACUGCUAAAGAUGCUUAGUGAUAAGUAUCGUAGAUAAAUGACAGAGGUCCUCUUUGAGGAUGACAGAAUCCGGCUUAUGACGGAGCUUUUCUU